UUAAGGUGAACAGGUUAUCCAUCAGCGGAGGACAUACACUGAAGAAAACAAUAUGGAGAAUAUGCUCCAAGGUUUUCGGUCCUGUAGCCAAACAACUGAACUGGUGUGGAAGGGGAGAAAAGUGAGGGAUCAGGAAAACAGAUAUAGGAGAACUC